UUUCAUAUCUCUGAUUGUAUAUAAAGUAUGUUCACACCAAUUCAGAUCUUCAUACAUGUACUUUGGAUAAUGAUGUCUAUCACUUCCACCAUCAUUGCUAACCCCGCUCCCUCCCUUCCCCUCCCAUCCCUCUUCACUAUCUAGAGUUUGUCUAUUCCUCCCAUGCUCCCCCUCCUUACCCCAUUAUGGCUCAGUCACCUUAUAUCAGAGAAAAUAUUUGGCAUUUGUUUUUUGGGGAUUUGCUAACCUCACUUAGCAUUAUUUUCUCCAAUACCAUCCAUUUACCUGCAAAUGCCAUGAUUUUAUUCUCCUUUAUUGCUGAAAUAUUCCAUUGUGUAUAUAUGCCACAUUUUUUUAAUCCAUUCAUCUACUGAGGGUCAUCUAGGUUGGUUCCCCAGUUUAGCUAUUGUGGAAUUGUGCUGCUAUAAACAUUGAUGUGGCUGUGUCCCUGUAGUAUGCUGUUUUUAAGUCCUUUGGGUAUAGACUGAGGAGAUGGAUAGCUGGGUCAAAUGGUGGUUCCACUCCCAGUUUUCCAAGGAAUCUUCCAAAGAAUGGCUAUUUAAUAAUGCCAGGUUGCUGAGAGGGAAAGGAUGUAUAGAAUCCAGAGUAGAAGUGGAGAUGAUGGGAGAAUCAAUCUCAAUUGUAAGAGAAAAUUAGUAGAAGAGGAUAGUUAUAGAUGAAACUAAGUCACAGCCAACCACAUAACUACUCUAUUUCCGUUUUUGUUUUUGCAGCUUUAUGACUAGGACAGUGGUUGUAGGUGGAAGUGAAAAGUGAAACAUCCAGGUCAGGGUCUUAAAGGAGAGCCACAGACCCCCUUACUGCUCUCAUUUGCAGGCUGAUUGGGGAUAUGAAGGAAGCCAUCUUUGAUUAGGCAGGAAGGGUAACUCACUAGGGAUGGCAGAAUGACAUCUCAAAUCAUUUUAUCAUUCUUGGUUUUUAUGCAUGAAAAAGAAGAAAAAACCCUACAAUCUUACGUCUCUGUAAUUUUUUUUCUCUAUUGUCAUAGCAACCUAACCAGCAUUUUAACUAACACAGUAGAUUUAUAAAUUUGGUA
rnacentral:lncRNA from 1 species